UAUUUAGGGCUCCAUAAUGUAGGUAAGGUACCCUAGAAAUGUAGGAUUUUUCAGCCCUUGUAUUUUAGGGCACCUAGACUAGUUUUUGUAUUAGGGGUAGUUUUUGUAAUUUCACAUGCAUUAAGUGAAUAUUUGAUGUGUGUGUUGGAAAAUAAAUUUAAUUGAAUUGGGAGAAGCCUAAUCCAAUUAAAUUUUAGAGGGGGAGGUGAGCAUUUGCUUGCUACACCCCAUUGCAACAUCAUAUAGUCACACUUUGUGCAUGUGCUUCAUGCUUUACACGCCUCA
rnacentral:lncRNA from 1 species